UACAGAGGUGGCAAGCGUUGUUCGGAAUUACUGGGCGUAAAGGGCGCGUAGGCGGCCUUCUAAGUCAGACGUGAAAUCCCCCGGCUUAACCUGGGAACUGCGUCUGAUACUGGGAGGCUAGAGUAUGGGAGAGGGAUGUAGAAUUCCAGGUGUAGCGGUGAAAUGCGUAGAUAUUCGGAGGAACACCAGUGGCGAAGGCGGCUCACUGGUCCGGUACUGACGCUGAGGUGCGAAAGCGUGGGGAGCAAACAGG
rnacentral:rRNA from 1 species